CUCUCAAGUCGGGUUUCAUCCAG
rnacentral:piRNA from 1 species